GGGCUUGUGCUGAAAUUGGUAUACAGGCAUGCUUGAGGUGCAUGUGCCAGUAAUGGCGUGGAGGUUCGAGUCCUCUCAGGCCCA
rnacentral:tRNA from 6 species